rnacentral:tRNA from 1 species
UCUAAAUAUAAGCUAUUUGAAU